rnacentral:rRNA from 1 species
AGUGAACGCUGGCGGCGUGCUUAACACAUGCAAGUCGAGCGGUAAGGCCCUUUCGGGGGUACACGAGCGGCGAACGGGUGAGUAACACGUGGGUGACCUGCCCUCAGCUCUGGGAUAAGCCUGGGAAACCGGGUCUAAUACCGGAUAUGACUCCAUGACGCAUGUUGUGGGGUGGAAAGCCUUGUGCGGCUGAGGAUGGGCCCGCGGCCUAUCAGCUUGUUGGUGGGGUGANGGCCUACCAAGGCGACGACGGGUAGCCGGCCUGAGAGGGCGACCGGCCACACUGGGACUGAGACACGGCCCAGACUCCUACGGGAGGCAGCAGUGGGGAAUCUUGCGCAAUGGGCGAAAGCCUGACGCAGCGACGCCGCGUGAGGGAUGACGGCCU